ensembl:rRNA 5S_rRNA 5S ribosomal RNA
ACUUACGGCCAUACCACCCUGAGAACGCCCGAUCUCGUCUGAUCUCGGAAGCUAAGCAGGGUCGGGCCUGGUUAGUACUUGGAUGGGAGACCGCCUGGGAAUACCAGGUGCUGUAAGCA